GAUGAACGCUAGCUACAGGCUUAACACAUGCAAGUCGAGGGGCAGCGCAGUGUAGCAAUAUAUGGGCGGCGACCGGCGCACGGGUGCGUAACGCGUAUCCAACCUUCCCGUUACUCAGGGAUAGCCUUCCGAAAGGGAGAUUAAUACCUGAUGGUGUUUGAAUUCCGCAUGUUAUUCAAACUAAAGAUUUAUCGGUAACGGAUGGGGAUGCGUGACAUUAGGUAGAUGGCGGGGUAACGGCCCACCAUGCCUACGAUGUCUAGGGGUUCUGAGAGGAAGGUCCCCCACACUGGAACUGAGACACGGUCCAGACUCCUACGGGAGGCAGCAGUGAGGAAUAUUGGUCAAUGGUCGGAAGACUGAACCAGCCAAGUAGCGUGAAGGAUGAAGGUUCUAUGGAUUGUAAACUUCUUUUAUACGGGAAUAAAACCUCUCACGUGUGGGAGCUUGUAUGUACCGUAUGAAUAAGCAUCGGCUAACUCCGUGCCAGCAGCCGCGGUAAGAC
rnacentral:rRNA from 1 species